rnacentral:rRNA from 1 species
AUGAUCAUCACUGGCGACGAUUCUGAGUACAUUGCCUUUGUCAAGGCCCGUAUCAAUGAGCAGUUCCUUAUGUCUGAUCUUGGUCCUCUUCGUUACUUUCUUGGGAUUGAGGUUUCCUCCACCGCCGAUGGCUUUUUUAUUUCUCAAGAAAAGUAUAUCCAGGAUGUUCUUACUCGUGCGGCUCUUAGUGAUGAGCGCACUGUUGAGACUCCUAUGAAGCUCAAUGUUCACCUUCACGCUUCUGAUGGUGAACCCUUGUCUGAUCCGACGUGUUACCGUCAUCUUGUUGGGAGUCUUGUCUAUCUUGCUGUCACUCGUCCGGAUAUCUCCUAUCCUGUCCAUAUUCUGAAUCAGUUUGUUUCUGCUCCCACUUCAUUUCACUGUAGUCACCUUCUUCAUGUUCUACGAUAUCUUCGUGGCACGAUCUCUCAUCGUUUUUUUCCCUCCGUUCCAGCUCGUUACAGCUCCAGGCCUAUUCGGAUGCUACGUGGGCUAGUGAUCCUUUUUUCUUGGUGGUUCUCUCAUUGCCUGGAAGACGAGGAAACAGACUGCGGUUUCCCGUUCGAGUGCAGAGGCAGAGUUGCGAGCUACGACUCUUUUGACGGCAGAGGUGACUAUGUUGCGAUGGUUACCGGAGGAUUCUGGUGUUUCUGUUACUACACCUACUACCCUAUUGUCAGACAGUACAUGUGCUAUCAGUAUUGCACGGGACCCCGUGAAGCAUGA